rnacentral:rRNA from 1 species
AACACGUGGACAACCUGCCCUGAGGACUGGAAUAAUCCCGGGAAACUGGGGGUAAUUCCAGAUAUGUCAGAACUCCUGGAAUGGGUUCUGGCAGAAAGGCUCCGGCGCCUCAGGAUGGGUCUGCGGCCUAUCAGGGUAGUAGUGGGUGUAACGUACCUACUAGCCUACGACGGGUACGGGUUGUGAGAGCAAGAGCCCGGAGAUGGAUUCUGAGACAUGAAUCCAGGCCCUACGGGGUGCAGCAGGCGCGAAAACUUUACAAUGCGGGCAACCGCGAUAAGGGGACCUCGAGUGCUGGGUUACAAACCUGGCUGUUGGGCUGCCUAAAAAGCAGUCUAUAGCAAGGGCCGGGCAAGACCGGUGCCAGCCGCCGCGGUAACACCGGCGGCUCGAGUGGUAACCGCUGUUAUUGGGUCUAAAGGGUCUGUAGCCUGCCGGCUAAGUCUCUUGGGAAAUCUGGCAUCUCAAGUGUCAGGCUGCCAGGGGAUACUGGUCAGCUUGGGACCGGGAGAGGUGAGAGGUACCUCAGGGGUAGGGGUGAAAUCUUGUAAUCCUUGAGGGACCACCAGUGGCGAAGGCGUCUCACCAGAACGGAUCCGACGGCAAGGGACGAAAGCUAGGGGCACGAACCGGAUUAGAUACCCGGGUAGUCCUAGCCGUAAACGAUACUCGCUAGGUGUCGGCCACGGUGCGACCGUGGUCGGUGCCGUAGGGAAGCCGUGAAGCGAGCCACCUGGGAAGUACGGCCGCAAGGCUGAAACUUAAAGGAAUUGGCGGGGGAGCACAAUCG